GGGAAUAUAAUUUAAUGGUAAAGUAACUGUUUUGCGUACAGAAGUUAUAGGUUCGAGUCCUGUUAUUUCCA
rnacentral:tRNA from 1 species